CUACGGAGGGUGCAAGCGUUACUCGGAAUCACUGGGCGUAAAGCGCGCGCAGGCGGCCAUUUAAGUUGGAUGUGAAAGCCUACGGCUCAACCGUAGAACUGCAUCCAAAACUAUUUGACUAGAGUGUGGGAGAGGAAGAUGGAAUUAGUUGUGUAGGGGUAAAAUCCGUAGAGAUAACUAGGAAUACCAAAAGCGAAGGCAAUCUUCUGGAACACUACUGACGCUGAGGCGCGAAAGCGUGGGGAGCAAACGGGAUUAGAAACCCCAGUAGUCC
rnacentral:rRNA from 1 species